rnacentral:lncRNA from 1 species
ACCCUCACACCCACACCACCCUCACACCCACACCACCUUCGCUGUCCGCUGUCCACAGCCCAGCCGUCCCAACCCUCACGGCAUCCGCGCCAGGUCACGCACCCAGAGCCCUUGUGCUUUGCCUCACGCUGCUGAAUCAACCCGGCCACAUGUCGGCUCGUGUGGUUGGAGUCUAAGCUUUGGGCAACCUCCCAUGAUGUCACUGAGGACCUGGGAGCUUCCAUGCCUCUACUCAAAGGUCCACAGAGUUGGCUUGUCCUGACAGGGGUUCCUGUUGUGGUUCUCAGGUGCCCUCUCUGUGUCUCCUCUCACGUCUCCCUGGCUCAUUCCGGAACAAUCACCACGAGAGGGAUGGGGUCACCGUUAAUGAAACAGACUCACCCUGGAGCUGGGAGAGCCAUCAGCGUCCACGAGGACACUGAUCUGUGUGGGAGGAAGGAGGCAGGAGGAUUGGACGCCGGGCGGCCACCAACAAUGCCACCAACAGUGCCACCAACAAUGCCACCAACAGUGCCACCAACAAUGCCACCAACAGUGCCACCAACAGUGCCACCAACAAUGCCACCAACAGCGUUAUCAGACCCCUGGCUUCCUGCAGGGACGUGGUCCCAACGUGCACUGCGGCCCAAGGACACUGUCAGCCGGCUCCCUUACUGGACUCUGAGACGCCCGGGAAAACCCAAAAGAACGUGUUCGAUGCCUACAAGGAAACAACGACUGCCUGAGGGACACGACGGGCACAGAUUAAAUGGAGAGUGAGCAUGAAAGGGAGAAACCACGGCAAAGAUUUGAUCAUCCCCAGAUUAAUCAGGUCUCAGGGAAAUGGUAUCUGAAGGCCGUGACCGCUGACCAGGAGAUUCCCGGGGAGAAGCCUGAGUUGGUGACUCCCAUGAUCCUCACGGUCCUGGAGGGGGGCAACCUGGAGGCCAAAGCGACCGUGAAGGUGAGGGGUCAGUGCCAGGAGACGAAACUGGUGCUGGAGAAAACCAAUGAGCCCGGCAAAUACACGGCCGACGAGGGCAGGCGCGUGGUGCACAUCUCGCCGUCGAACGUGAUGGACCACUACGUUCUUUACUGUGAAGGCGAGCUCCGGGGGAAGCAGAUCCGGAUGGCGAAGCUCGUGGGAAGAGACGCGGAGAACAACCAGGGGGCCCUGGAGGAUUUUAAGACGUUCGCGAGAGACAAAGGGUUCGACCCGGAGAAGAUCUUCACGCUCACGCCCCAUGAAACCUGCUCUCCAGGAAGCGAUUAGGGACGAGGGGGCACCGGGGCUCCACAGCAGCCCUGAGGCGGCAGCACCAGGACCCUCCAUCCUGAAGGACACAGACAGAGUCCCUGACCAGGAGCCUGGGUCACCUCCUGCCACCCUUCCUGCACCUCCACCCCCUCCUCCCCCGCCCUGCAUCCCCCUCCUGGUUCCGCAUAAAGAGCUUCAGCAGUUCCUGGUGCCUCUGCCUGUCUGUGGGUCCAUCGGGUGGACCGGGAAUGGGGAGGAUGUAGGCAAGCUGGGGCGGGCACAGCAGGAGGACCCAGCAGCGUCCUGGUUCCCUCUGGUGGAUGGUGCAGUCCAAUGGGCAUGAGGGUCCAGGCGGAGGGGGUAGGUGCUGCCACUCUGCCCGAGGGUCCUCUGGGGGCUUUCUGCAGGUCUGGUGCCCACCAAUCCAGGUUCUGGUGGUGGUCUGUUUGGGGAGAGGGGGCGUGAGGGUGACAGGGUUGGCUCCAGCCUCGAGGCGGGAACAUGUGUGCGGU